CAAGUUUCUGCCCUAUCAGCUUUGGAUGGUAGUGUAUUGGACUACCAUGGCAAUCACGGGUAACGGAGAAUUAGGGUUCGAUUCCGGAGAGGGAGCCUGAGAAACGGCUACCACAUCUACGGAAGGCAGCAGGCGCGAAAAUUGCCCAAUCCUGAUUCAGGGAGGCAGUGACAAGAAAUAACAACUCUCAACAUUUGUUGAGAAGUGUAAUGAGGAUAAUUUACAAACCUUACCGAAAGCAAUUGGAGGGCAAGUCUGGUGCCAGCAGCCGCGGUAAUUCCAGCUCCAAAAGCGUAUAUUAAAGUUGUUGCAGUUAAAAAGCUCGUAGUUGAAAUUCUGGUUGUAUUGGGCCUAUGCACUUGUUGUAAAGGUACCAGCAAUCAUUCGCUUGCAAGUACAUUCCUUCCUUAACCGGUUGGCUGUAUAAGUACGCACUUUACCUUGAGAAAAACAGAGUGUUCCAGGCAGGUUUGUCCGGAAUGCGUUAGCAUGGAAUAAUGGAAUAUGACUGAAGUCGA
rnacentral:rRNA from 1 species